rnacentral:piRNA from 1 species
UAUUCGUCAUCUUUCAGAAUCAGGAC